CCGCCCUUUAGAGCGUUUCUGAACUCUGAUGACUGCACCACCAAAAUUAGUUAUUAGGAAACAGAAAUCUCCACAACGAAAUUUGCCUUAUUUAUGGCACUGUCAGGUACACAAAAGUCACUCAGCCACUCAUCAUGGAAUGACAGCAGGUAAACUUAUUCCACCACAACCAGUCUCACCGCAAGAAACUCAACCACCGAUUGUUUGAACAGGGUGCUCUGCAGUCGCUGACCGAUUUGGCAUUAGUACUAGAUCGACGCUUGCGUCCCUAAAGAAUCAGAGAUGUCCGACAAUGGUGCCUCAGCGAUCAACCUUCUGUCUUAUGAGACACUGGUACACGCCGUGGCAGGUGCAGUGGGUAGCAUGACGGCGAUGUCCGUCUUCUUUCCUUUGGAUACAGCGAGGAUCAGACUUCAGGUGGAUGAGAAUCGGAAGUCCAAAUCGACUGCCAUUCUCCUGGCUGAAAUAGCAAAGGAGGAAGCCUGUUGUCUCUGUACAGAGGCUGGUUCCCAGUCAUCUCCAGUCUGUGCUGCUCCAACUUUGUCUACUUCUACACCUUCAACACACUGAAGAAAGUCAUGGUGGGUAAUCAGGGCCGGUCCAGCCCGGGAAAAGACCUCCUCAUGGGCUUCAUCCAGGGGCAGUGAACGUGCUCCUGACCACGCCCAUGUGGGUGGUCAACACCCGGCUCAAGCUGCAGGGGCAAAGUUCAGGAACGAAGACCUCCAGCAGACCCACUACAGAGGCAUCUUUGAUGCUUUCUCGAGAUCAUAGCCAGCGAGGGAGUGGGGACUCUUUGGAAUGGUACACUGCCUUCUCUGGUGCUGGUCUUCAACCCUGCAGUCGUGUUCAUGUUCUAUGAAGCCAUGAAGAGGAAAGCAGGCCGAGGAGGGAGGAAGAUUACAUCAGCAGAGAUCUUUCUCAUUGGAGCUGUGCCAAGGCCAUCGCUACCACGGCGACGUAUCCCCUGCAGACCGUCCAGGCAUACUAAGGGUAAACAAAUACACUGCA